UGGUGCAGUGGUUAAAGCACUUGGCUGCUAACCAAAAGGUUGGUGGUUCAAAUCCACC
rnacentral:tRNA from 1 species